UGGCGAACGGGUGAGUAACGCGUGGGUAACCUGCCUCAUACAGGGGGAUAACAGUUGGAAACGGCUGCUAAUACCGCAUAAGCGCGCAAUACCGCAUGGUACCGUGUGAAAAACUACCGGUGGUAUGAGAUGGACCCGCGUCUGAUUAGCUAGUUGGUGGGGUAACGGCCUACCAAGGCGACGAUCAGUAGCCGACCUGAGAGGGUGAUCGGCCACAUUGGGACUGAGACACGGUCCAAACUCCUACGGGAGGCAGCAUG
rnacentral:rRNA from 1 species